GAAAGAUAGGCGUUGAUGUGUUUAUAGAGAUGGAUUGAAUAAAUUCAUCGUCAAACAAAAUAAGAGACAACGUAUAUAAAACUCUUGAUUGCUGUGUAUAUAUACUAUAUGCUAAUCAGGGUAACUUAUGUAUGUAGAUGUCUGGUGGAAAAGAUAUGUGGAAUAAGAAGGAUCAGAUCCAUACCCCCAAGCUAAUAUCGAGGCCAAUAGCGGGAAUAGAAGCUCAAAAGGAGAGAAUGACAGAUAAUGAUUCAGACAUUAACGUUGAAGCUGAUCAAGCAUCAAUGAAAGUGCAGGAUCUGGAGAACAAGGUUUCUUUACUAGAAAGGUUGUGGGAGAAAGAAAAGUUGCUACGUCGUCAUUAAUAGAAACAAUGGAAGAACAUGAUAAGCUUAAGAUCCAAAUUGACCAGAUGGGAGCCUCAAAUAACACAUCGUGUGCAGUUCCGAGACGUAAGGGAAAAAGAAAGAUAGAAGAUCCUGACUUAGGAAAACCUGAUAAGAAGAAAGGGAAGAAGAUAUGUUAUAUUUGCGGCUGNNNN
rnacentral:lncRNA from 1 species